rnacentral:rRNA from 1 species
CCCUUAGAUGUUCUGGGCCGCACGCGCGCUACACUGAUGCAUUCACCGAGUCUAAAACCUGCUCUGAUAGGGGUGGGUAAUCUUUUGAAUGUGCAUCGUGAUUGGGAUAGAUGAUUGCAAUUUUUCAUCUUCAACGAGGAAUGCCUAGUAAACGCAAGUCAUCAGCUUGCAUUGAUUACGUCCCUGCCCUUUGUACACACCGCCCGUCGCUCCUACCGAUUGAAUGAUCCGAUGAAUAUCAUGGAUUGAGGAUGCAAGUAGGUUAGCCUAUCUUCAUCUUCGAGAAGUGAAGUAAAUCUUAUCAUUUAGAGGAAGGAGAAGUCGUAACA